GAAUGCUGACAUAAGUAACGAUAAAGCGGGUGAAAAGCCCGCUCGCCGGAAGACCAAGGGUUCCUGUCCAACGUUAAUCGGGGCAGGGUGAGUCGACCCCUAAGGCGAGGCCGAAAGGCGUAGUCGAUGGGAAACAGGUUAAUAUUCCUGUACUUGGUGUUACUGCGAAGGGGGGACGGAGAAGGCUAUGUUAGCCGGGCGACGGUUGUCCCGGUUUAAGCAUGUAGGCGGAGGUUCCAGGUAAAUCCGGUACCUUUUAACGCUGAGGUGUGAUGACGAGGCACUACGGUGCUGAAGUAACAAAUGCCCUGCUUCCAGGAAAAGCCUCUAAGCAUCAGGUAACAUCAAAUCGUACCCCAAACCGACACAGGUGGUCAGGUAGAGAAUACCAAGGCGCUUGAGAGAACUCGGGUGAAGGAACUAGGCAAAAUGGUGCCGUAACUUCGGGAGAAGGCACGCUGGUG
rnacentral:rRNA from 1 species